rnacentral:rRNA from 1 species
GACGAACGCUGGCGGCGUGCUUAACACAUGCAAGUCGAACGGUGAAGCGCCUUCCUUUUUGGUGGGUGUGGAUGAGUGGCGAACGGGUGAGUAACACGUGAGUAACCUGCCCCCUUCUUCUGGAUAACCGCAUGAAAGUGUGGCUAAUACGGGAUAUUCUGGGUCUGUCGCAUGAUGGGUCUGGGAAAGAUAUUGUUUCGGUGGGGGAUGGGCUCGCGGCCUAUCAGCUUGUUGGUGGGGUGAUGGCCUACCAAGGCGGUGACGGGUAGCCGGCCUGAGAGGGUGGACGGUCACACUGGGACUGGGACACGGCCCAGACUCCUACGGGAGGCAGCGGUGGGGAAUAUUGCACAGUGGGCGAACACCUGAUGCAGCGACGCCGCGUGAGGGAUGGAGGCCUUCGGGUUGUGAACCUCUUUCGCAAGUGAGGCGGGCCUGCCUCGUUUGUGGGUGGGUUGACGGUAGCUGGAGAAGAAGCGCCGGCUAACUACGUG